GCAUAUCAAAAAGCUGAGGAAAAGAAACUAACAAGGAUUCCCCUAGUAGCGGCGAGCGAAGCGGGAAGAGCUCAAAUUUAUAAUCUGGCACCUUCGGUGUCCGAGUUGUAAUCUCUAGAAAUGUUUUCCGCGUUGGACCGCACACAAGUCUGUUGGAAUACAGCGGCAUAGUGGUGAGACCCCCGUAUAUGGUGCGGACGCCCAGCGCUUUGUGAUACAUUUUCGAAGAGUCGAGUUGUUUGGGAAUGCAGCUCAAAUUGGGUGGUAAAUUCCAUCUAAAGCUAAAUAUUGGCGAGAGACCGAUAGCGAACAAGUACCGUGAGGGAAAGAUGAAAAGCACUUUGGAAAGAGAGUUAACAGUACGUGAAAUUGUUGGAAGGGAAACGCUUGAAGUCAGACUUGCUUGCCGAGCAAUCGGUUUGCAGGCCAGCAUCAGUUUUCCGGGAUGGAUAAUGGUAGAGAGAAGGUAGCAGUUUCGGCUGUGUUAUAGCUCUCUGCUGGAUACAUCUUGGGGGACUGAGGAACGCAGUGUGCCUUUGGCGGGGGUUUCGACCUCUUCACACUUAGGAUGCUGGUGGAAUGGCUUUAAACGACCCGUCUUGAAACACG
rnacentral:rRNA from 1 species